UGGGGAAUCUUGCGCAAUGGGCGAAAGCCUGACGCAGCAACGCCGCGUGUGUGAUGAAGGUCUUCGGAUCGUAAAGCACUGUCGGGAGGGACGAAUAAGGAGGCGGCUAACAUCCGCCGACGAUGACGGUACCUCCAAAGGAAGCACCGGCUAACUCUGUGCCAGCAGCCGCGGUAAUACAGAGGGUGCAAGCGUUGUUCGGAAUUAUUGGGCGUAAAGCGCGUGUAGGCGGCCAGUCAAGUCGGGUGUGAAAGCCCUCGGCUCAACCGAGGAAGUGCGCCCGAAACUAGCUGGCUUGAGUACCAGAGAGGGUGGCGGAAUUCCCGGUGUAGAGGUGAAAUUCGUAGAUAUCGGGAGGAACACCAGCGGCGAAGGCGGCCACCUGGAUGGAUACUGACGCUGAGACGCGAAAGCGUGGGGAGCAAACAGG
rnacentral:rRNA from 1 species